rnacentral:misc_RNA from 1 species
GAAAUGCGAUAAGUAGUGUGAAUUGCAGAAUUCAGUGAAUCAUCGAAUCUUUGAACGCACAUUGCGCCCUUUGGUAUUCCUUAGGGCAUGCCUGUUCGAGCGUCAUUUGUAACCUCAAGCUCAGCUUGGUGUUGGGUGUCUGUCCCCGCCCCGCGCGGGGACUCGCCUCAAAAACAUUGGCGGCCGGUACGUUGGCUUCGAGCGCAGCAGAAACGCGAACUCGAGGCCCGAUGGAUCGGCGACCAGAAGUCACUUCUUCCACAGCUUGACCUCGGAUCAGGUAGGGAUACCCGCUGAACUUAAGC